UGUUUGGAUACAAUCCAAAAGGGCCCUGGAGAGAGCUAGGGCCAUACAGAGCAGCGCUGCCCUGCUCGAAUUCGCCACCUCCCUGCCUGGAUUUGACACCUCCUCCGACUUCUCCAUGGCAGGCGACUUUGUGCUCCAGCUGGGUCUCCAUGUAGCCCACCCAGCCGAGGACAUCAGCCGGCAAGCCAGGGGUGGGCUAUAUUGGCUGCACAGGCUCCUGGUGCAGAAGAGGGGGCUCAACAUCACCGAGGGAAGAGAGCUGUGGUGCCGGGAAG